rnacentral:ncRNA from 2 species
AUCUGAAAAAGGCAAAUCUAUCGAAAGGUAGAGACGUAAAGCCAAGGGUCUAAGGUUGCAAAACUAUGACAGCCGGUUGCCAAA